UACAGAGGGUGCGAGCGUUGUUCGGAAUUACUGGGCGUAAAGCGCGCGCAGGCGGCCCUUUAAGUCUACCCGUGAAAUGCCGGAGCUCAACUCCGCGCACGCCGGGGGAUACUGGGGGGCUGGAGACAUGUAGAGGCAAGCGGAAUUCCGGGUGUAGCGGUGGAAUGCGUAGAGAUCCGGAAGAACACCGGUGGCGAAGGCGGCUUCCUGGACCGACACUGACGCUGAGGCGCGAAAGCUAGGGGAGCAAACGGG
rnacentral:rRNA from 1 species